GGAAUUUUCUCUAAUGGAAUCGAUCGAACCCAAAGAGAAUCCUCGUGUUCCUCAUCCUAGACUUGAUACUAGCAAUCUCGGUUCAUCAGUGCCUCCUAGCUGCAUGAAAUUUAUCAAUGAUUUGCAGAGUGAGAUCCACAAGAUUUCUAUUGAGAAAGAAACAAUGAAGCUUGAAAUGAUGAGUGCGCAAGCCAUGAUUAACAUUCUUCAAUCUCGAAUCGAUUUCUCAACAAGGAAAAUGAGGAUUUGAAAAGAAGCAUCCGAGAUGCAUAGCAACUACCUAUGACACAGUAAUCUUAUUGUUGUCCUGAUGUAUGAAUCAAAGGUACCUGCUGCAUCCUGUUACCCUCAAGUCAAGAUGUUUCAAGGGUAUGUAAAAUUAUUAUGUUAUUGUUUUGUUGCUUGUUUUAAUAAUUUUUUGUUGUAGGAAUAUGAUAAUG
rnacentral:misc_RNA from 1 species